GACGAACGUUGGCGGCGUGCUUAACACAUGCAAGUCGAACGGGAAGGCCCUGCUUUUGUGGGGUGCUCGAGUGGCGAACGGGUGAGUAACACGUGAGUAACCUGCCCUUGACUUUGGGAUAACUUCAGGAAACUGGGGCUAAUACCGGAUAGGAGCUCCUGCUGCAUGGUGGGGGUUGGAAAGUUUCGGCGGUUGGGGAUGGACUCGCGGCUUAUCAGCUUGUUGGUGGGGUAGUGGCUUACCAAGGCUUUGACGGGUAGCCGGCCUGAGAGGGUGACCGGCCACAUUGGGACUGAGAUACGGCCCAGACUCCUACGGGAGGCAGCAGUGGGGAAUAUUGCACAAUGGGCGGAAGCCUGAUGCAGCAACGCCGCGUGCGGGAUGACGGCCUUCGGGUUGUAAACCGCUUUCGCCUGUGACGAAGCGUGAGUGACGGUAAUGGGUAAAGAAGCACCGGCUAACUACGUGCCAGCAGCCGCGGUGAUACGUAGGGUGCGAGCGUUGUCCGGAUUUAUUGGGCGUAAAGGGCUCGUAGGUGGUUGAUCGCGUCGGAAGUGUAAUCUUGGGGCUUAACCCUGAGCGUGCUUUCGAUACGGGCUGACUUGAGGAAGGUAGGGGAGAAUGGAAUUCCUGGUGGAGCGGUGGAAUGCGCAGAUAUCAGGAGGAACACCAGUGGCGAAGGCGGUUCUCUGGGCCUUUCCUGACGCUGAGGAGCGAAAGCGUGGGGAGCGAACAGGCUUAGAUACCCUGGUAGUCCACGCUGUAAACGGUGGGUACUAGGUGUGGGGUCCAUUCCACGGGUUCCGUGCCGUAGCUAACGCUUUAAGUACCCCGCCUGGGGAGUACGGCCGCAAGGCUAAAACUCAAAGGAAUUGACGGGGCCCCGCACAAGCGGCGGAGCAUGCGGAUUAAUUCGAUGCAACGCGUAGAACCUUACCUGGGUUUGACAUGGAUCGGGAGUGCUCAGAGAUGGGUGUGCCUCUUUUGGGGUCGGUUCACAGGUGGUGCAUGGCUGUCGUCAGCUCGUGUCGUGAGAUGUUGGGUUAAGUCCCGCAACGAGCGCAACCCUUGUUCACUGUUGCCAGCACGUUAUGGUGGGGACUCAGUGGAGACCGCCGGGGUCAACUCGGAGGAAGGUGGGGAUGACGUCAAGUCAUCAUGCCCCUUAUGUCCAGGGCUUCACGCAUGCUACAAUGGCUGGUACAGAGAGUGGCGAGCCUGUGAGGGUGAGCGAAUCUCGGAAAGCCGGUCUCAGUUCGGAUUGGGGUCUGCAACUCGACCUCAUGAAGUCGGAGUCGCUAGUAAUCGCAGAUCAGCAACGCUGCGGUGAAUACGUUCCCGGG
rnacentral:rRNA from 1 species